rnacentral:tRNA from 5 species
CAGAGAAUAGUUUAGUUUAGAAUUCUAGCUUUGGGAGUUAGAGGUGGAAGUUAAAAUCUUUCUUCU